UACGGGGGGGGCAAGCGUUGUCCGGAAUUACUGGGCGUAAAGGGCUCGUAGGUGGCCAACUAAGUCAUACGUGAAAUCCCUCAGCUUAACUGGGGAACUGCGUCUGAUACUGGAUGGCUUGAGUUUGGGAGAGGGAUGCGGAAUUCCAGGUGUAGCGGUGAAAUGCGUAGAUAUCUGGAGGAACACCGGUGGCGAAGGCGGCAUCCUGGACCAAUACUGACACUGAGGAGCGAAAGCCAGGGGAGCAAACGGG
rnacentral:rRNA from 1 species